rnacentral:rRNA from 1 species
GUGGGGAAUAUUGGACAAUGGGCGAAAGCCUGAUCCAGCCAUGCCGCGUGUGUGAAGAAGGUCUUCGGAUUGUAAAGCACUUUAAGUUGGGAGGAAGGGUAGUAACCUAAUACGUUGCUACUUUGACGUUACCGACAGAAUAAGCACCGGCUAACUUCGUGCCAGCAGCCGCGGUAAUACGAAGGGUGCAAGCGUUAAUCGGAAUUACUGGGCGUAAAGCGCGCGUAGGUGGUUUUGUAAGUUGGAGGUGAAAUCCCCGGGCUCAACCUGGGAACUGCAUCCAAAACUGCAUGACUAGAGUACGGUAGAGGGUAGUGGAAUUUCCUGUGUAGCGGUGAAAUGCGUAGAUAUAGGAAGGAACACCAGUGGCGAAGGCGACUACCUGGACUGAUACUGACACUGAGGUGCGAAAGCGUGGGGAGCAAACAGGAUUAGAAACCCGUGUAGUCC